GAGACUGGAAGGUUUUUAGCAGUCUAUUUUCCCUUUAUUUCCUAAAUCAUUAAGUUAGCUUUAAACACAGAAAAGGACAUUUUAAAAAAUGUAAACUUACCAUCUGCUUUUAUUUUCUGUUUGCUCCAGUCUUUUGGCACAGUGGUAAUCACAGUAUGGUCUUGCUAAGAUGCCCUGGUUGGCCUUGAACUUGUGAUCCUCCUGCCUCAGACUCCUGAGUCAUUGGAAUUACAGAUCAGUACUUCAAUCUGAAAGAAGUUCACCCAGUUCAGUGAGUGCACAGAAGAGCUGUUCUAAAAGUCUGAUUCACUGACCAACAGCAUCACCAUCACCUGGGACCUUACUCAAAGUUCAAAUUCUUGGGCUGGGGCUGCAGCUCAGUGGUAGAGCACUUGCCUAGCACAUAUGACACACUAAGAUCAAUCCUGGCACCACAUGAAAAUAAAUAAAUGAA